CACAGUUCACGACCUACACACCAUCCACUCGCAUCCACUACAUACUACGCAAGAUACACGAAACAGAGUGACCCCUGUUCUAUCAGUAUUCCCCAAUGAAAUAUGACAACAGCUACACAUACACGCAAGAAUUACUACAGCCAAUCAGAUGUCACACGAGCCUAAGAACGCGAGCCGAUGAAUGAAACCGAGGCGCAAGGAUUGUUUCAGUCUCUUUGACAACCAUCAUCUGAGCCAGCCACUUGCUGUAUGAAACGUUACCAUCAUCGUUAUAACCGUUAACAUCAUCAACAUCUUUGAGCAUCACCGGACAGUACAUCAACAGACAGAACAUCAACAAGAGCCACAUGUUAGCUGACAGCCACGUCGGCUAACCCCUCGAGAACCACCAGAGGCAACUACUUUUCACCUUCGUCAUAGUGUGCUCACCAUCGUAUCAUCACACAUCACCAUCUUCAGGAGCGACGGUGAGGAAUAACUGUGUUUUAACUCUUGUCCUCUCAUCUCCUGCACUGUGUGAAUGGAUUAGCCACAGAAAUGUCAUCAAUGCCCGACAAGAAUAACGGUUGCCCCGAACGUUCAUUUCUGCUAACAGGCUAACCCCCGAGAACUGCCAGGCACCAUUCACCAUUCACCGCUGUGUCUAAGUGUACUCACCGGAUUCAUCCCCUUGAGCACAUCAUUAGGAGCAACGGUGAGGAAUAACAUCUGUUUAGCCGUUUUGUGCCCUUGUCCCAUCUCCUGCACUAUAUCAAUGGUUAGCCACAGAAAUGUUAGCAAUGCCCCACGAGAAUAACGGUUGUCCCGAACGUUCCCAAUGCACUGGCCAGGCUAACGUUGUAAGCGUCACUGGUGAAAAAAGAAUAUGUUUAUGCUUCACGAUCUUUACAGACACUGGUUACAGAUACUGAUAACUGAUAUUACUGAUACUGAUAACUGAUAUUGCUGAUACUGACUACUGAUACUGAUGACCAUUAGUAGCCCAUUACUGACACUGAUGCUGAUUACCAUCAGUAGCCUUACACUAGUUACACUAGCCUUACAGUAGUUACUAUUAUUUACACACACUAGUUAUUAUUACUGAUGGGUUCUACACAAAGAGAAGUUUAUUACUAUUUCUUUAAUAGUGAUUUAACUAAGAUAAGAGGAUAAUUUCAUUGUUGUUAUGAAUGUAAUAUUUCAUUGCACUAUGCAAUUUAUUGAAGCCUUUCACAGUAUUUAAUUUAAAGUAAAUAGAGGGUAAUUUUUAGUGCAGUUCUCUUACAUGAAUAGGCCUAUUAGUGUAAGAGGAUAUUAAGCACGUCUCUGAUAGUGAUUCCUUCUAAGCUUUAGAUUCUAAUGUGUAUUUUAUGUUUUAUGUUGUAUGUAUUUAUUGUUGAGACAUUUUGAAUGUAGUUUUAUUGGACCCAUUGCUACCUGCGUUUUGGUAGACAGGCGUUACACAUGAACGACUUGUUUUCAUGCACUUGAAUUUAAUGAUUAGAGAAGAUUUAAGAAGAUAUGUGAUUGUCAUCCCAGUAUGACUAUUAGAUAAUGAUAAUAUGAUGCAUCUUAGAUUUAUUGUACAUUGUACUAAUUGAAAUGUAUGUAUGGAUGAAUGUGACCUAUCAGGUCAGGUUUUUUGGACGGAUAGGAUUGAAAAGAAGACAACUGGGCCAGGACUUCACCUGGUCAAAGGACACUGAUGGCGAGCCUUUCCCAGAGCGACCACGGAUACCCUUAAGUACCCUACAAAGGAACUUUUCCCCCUUUUUCCACUUUUUACCAUUUCUAUUUUGUUUAAGGCCCCGGGACCAUUGUUUAUUUUAAGUGUGCACACUGUUUUAUUUUAUUUGGGUUUUUAUACACUUCAAACAUUUUGUAAACAAUAUACGAGUUUUCACUCAAAAAGGAA